UACGGGGGGGGCAAGCGUUGUUCGGAAUUACUGGGCGUAACGGGCUCGUAGGCGGCCAACUAAGUCGGAUGUGAAAUCCCCAGGCUCAACUUGGGAACUGCAUCCGAUACUGGAUGGCUUGAAUUCGGGAGAGGGAUGCAGAAUUCCAGGUGUAGCGGUGAAAUGCGUAGAUAUCUGGAGGAAUACCGGUGGCGAAGGCGGCAUCCUGGACCGACAUUGACGCUGAGGAGCGAAAGCUAGGGGAGCAAACGGG
rnacentral:rRNA from 1 species